rnacentral:rRNA from 1 species
CGGUAAUUCCAGCUCCAAUAGCGUAUACUAAAGUUGUUGCAGUUAAAAAGCUCGUAGUUGGAUUUCUGCGGGGACGGAGCGGCCGGACGCGACUUGCGUCUAGAGCUAGCGCUUUCCCCGCAUCCUGCCGCGAACCGUGCUACCAUUAGUUUGGUGGCGCUGGGGAUCGGCUCGAUUACUUUGAGAAAAAUAGAGUGUUCAAAGCAGGCCACACGCCUUGAAUAAGUUAGCAUGGAAUAAUGACUAAGGACUUUGGUUCUUUUCGUUGGUGUUCGGGACUGAAGUAAUGAUUGAUAGGGACAGUUGGGGCGGUCCGUAUUCCAAAGCGAGAGGUGAAAUUCUUAGACCUUCGGAAGACAAACAGCUGCGAAAGCGUUCCGCAAGGAUGUUCCCUUUGAUCAAGAACGAAAGUUGGGGGAUCGAAGACGAUCAGAUACCGUCGUAGUCUCAACUAUAAACUAUACCAGCUAGGGAUCGGCCAACGUUUAAUUAUUCGACUUGGUCGGCACCUUAUGAGAAAUCAAAGCAUCUGGGUUCCGGGGGGAGUAUGGUCGCAAGGCUGAAACUUAAAGGAAUUGACGGAAGGGCACCACCAGCCGUGGAGCCUGUGGCUUAAUUUGACUCAACACGGGAAAACUUACCAGGUCCAGACAUAGGAAGGAUUGACAGAUUGAUAGCUCUUUCUUGAUUCUGUGGGUGGUGGUGCAUGGCCGUUUUUAGUUGGUGGAGUGAUUUGUCUGCUUAAUUGCGUUAACGAACGAGACCCCAGCCUGCUAAAUAGCGCGGCCGAGCUUUGCUCGGUGCGAGCUUCUUAGAGGGACCAUGAUGCGCGAUAGCACAAGGAAGUUUGGGGCAACAACAGGUCUGUGAUGCCCUUAGAUGUUCUGGGCCGCACACGGGCUACACUGGCGCCUGCAACGAGCAUAUCAGCUGGCCCGAGAGGGUCUUGGCUAAUCUUUUGAACCGGCGCCGUGCUUGGGAUUGACCUUUGCAAUUGUUGGUCAUGCAACGAGGAAUGCCUUGUAAACGCGAGUCAUCAGCUCGCAUUGAAUACGUCCCUGCUCUUUGUACACACCGCCC